rnacentral:rRNA from 1 species
GACGAACGCUGGCGGCGUGCUUAACACAUGCAAGUCGAACGAAGUGGCGAACGGGUGAGUAACGCGUAAUCAACCUGCCCGUCAGAGGGGGACAACAGGUGGAAACGACUGCUAAUACCGCAUACAGAAGGAGGGGAGUGAGUCUGAUGCGCUAGUUGGAGGGGUAACGGCCCACCAAGGCGAUGAUCAGUAGCCGGGCCGAGCGGAUGAACGGCCACAUUGGGACUGAGCCACGGCCCAGACUCCUACGGGAGGCCGCAGUGGGGAAUCUUCCGCAAUGGACGGAAGUCUGACGGAGCAACGCCGCGUGAUUGAUGACGGCCUUCGGGUUGUAAAGCUCUGUUAAGCGGGACGCGGUACCGGAAUAGAAAGCCACGGCUAACUACGUGCCAGCCGCCGCGGUAAUUC